CGGCUGGCCCCAAUGUGGUUCCCGUGUGCAAGCCCAUAAUGGGGCCCACAUUUGAUGCCCAUGAAGCCCUCAUUUGGGCCCCACAUGUCAUUGCUGGCUGGGACAGAGACAGAGAUCAAGGCUGUCGUCAUAGAGGCCAAGAAGUAGUUGUCCGAAUUCUGUCACAGAGGACGUUUCUGGGAGUUUGGAAAAAAUUGUGACCUAUUAGACUCUACUAAUCCUCUUGCCAAGUUUGUAACUCUGUUAUGCUUCUCUGAUUUGAUAAAUCUGGCUUCAAAUUAAACAUCUGCACAUAUUUAGAUAUAAAUAUAAAUUAUUGCUUGUUGUUUUGACCUUAUUUAUGAUCCUUGUUUUAGGAUGAUUGCGGAGAUGCAGUCAAGGGGGUUGGUGAUUAAUAACUUACCUUCAGUCCUCCCAGAAUCAGCUCGAUCUACUACAUCUUCUGUGCCUCAAAGCUCUGGAGGUGCAGAAAGUCCAUUGUAGCCUCCAAAUGAGCCCUUAUCUGACAAGAGCUCUGGAGAGUACUACCAGAGGUACAGUUUCAAAUCGGCAUUCCCAGAAAUUAAAUGUACACUGUGGAAAUGAUUUCUCUUUAAUAUACAAAGUCAUUUUGCUCACCUGCUUUUCUAUUUCAGCACUGGUGGACCGAUGUUUACCUCUUCCGUGAGGGUGGAAGUGGUCAAAAAAGGCUUAUACAAUAAGCACUCCAUUGACCACUCCCUUCUAACAGGAUUUAAUAAAUACCUUUACACUGAUCUAGGAUAUAAAAACAGCAAACAAGUAGUGGAAACAGUGUCCAGGUUCUUGCAUUACAUGGACCCCACUGAGCCAAACUUGAUGUUUGUUCGGCAGGUGGAGAAAGUGCGAGAGUACUUUAACAUCUUGUCAGAUACAAAGCUCUCAAAAUGGACAGUGUUCAACUACUCGAAGAGUCUCAAGAGGUUCAUGAAAUACAUUAUUACCUCCACGGACAUUCACCACAACAAUCCAUCUCUGUUCCAGGACUGUAAGAGUUUUAUGGAUGUGCUGUAUGGGAUACAGAGUGGCAUGUCCAAAAAAGUGAGCAUGAAGGUCACAGCAAAAAAAAUCUGA
rnacentral:lncRNA from 1 species